GGCUGGGUCAGAGGCGGACAGACCUCCUCGUGGGUAGGGCUUGUCUGCCCCGGGGUCUGGAGUGCUCGUCUGGUGUGAACGAGAUGCGGUGCAGCGCUUUUAUGUCUCGUGUCUGGACUGUCUUAUAGUACCAGGAAUUCCUGAGAAAUCAGCUAAACCUGUACAGAGAUGAGGUGUGAAGUGAGCAUCGCUGGGAAAGGAGCCGCACGUAGGAAAGACAGUACAAGGAGCCAGUGUUGGGACCCUUCAUCCUGACGGUCUGCAGUGGGGAAGGUACCGGUGCAGGUGUGAGGCAGCCAGCCUUGGUUGUGACCUGAGCAGGCUUGUCACUCGGAAGGGGUGUUUGUCACUUGUCACUGUGACACACUGGACAGCCAUGCAUUUACAGUCAGUACUGCUUUAUGCUGAAACAUGAAUGGAUGGCAAAAGCGUUUCCCCAGGCCACUUGGUUUGUAUUCGUGUAUGUUCAUUGCAGUCUCCAAUUUUUUUGGCUAUAUUACUCAUAGGGAUAAUGAUGCUCUCAGAGUCCUGGUGCUUUGAGCAGAAGGUGCAGGAGAAAGAUGGCAUGGAAAGAGAAAGAAAUCACAGUUUCCCUUGGAGCAACUUCUGCAUGAUGAAAAAGAUAUGAUGGUGCAAGAGCACAGUCAGAGCUUUCCCAAGGACUCCUUUGGUGCUGUGUGAAAAGUCUUCCAGGUUGUUGGCAGAAGUACGUUUCUCUUCAUCAAAGAUAGUAAGUUAGAGGCCUGUAGCUACAACACCAUGAUUCUUUCAGUACUGUUUUCUAUAUUACCUUGUCUGUUUUCAAAGCAGCUCUUCCUUCUUAGCUUGACUUUUGACAGGAAUUCCAGUUUAUCAUUGGAACAUGUGGAGAGCCAGAGCUAGGAAAGGCCUUUUUUUGGGUCCUGUAGUUCUCCAUAAUUUUGAGAUCUGCUGCCAGGAUUCCUGGUCCAUCUAUUUUUAGAUGAAUUUUAAAGGAAGCCACCAUACUACCUGUUCUUUACCCCUCUUUGAAGAGACCUCACCAAGAAAUGGGUGACUUGGAUUUUGUUUCCUGUGUGAGAAAGGCAGAUCUGCAUCUCCCUGUCCCUGAAGAAACAGUGCAAUAUGUUUUUAAACUUAGUUACCAUGAGUAAAUUGUACAAAUCUGCUGAAGUGGAAGCUAGAGCUCAGGUUUUGUCUUUCCCAGGCAAGUAUUUUAACUACUGUGCUUAAGAGUGUUGGUCUGUUUCAUUUAACUGAUGCUCUUUCAAGGUGGAAGCUAAAGGCUUGGAUCUCUUCAGAGUGAAGGUGGUGUGGAACAGAACUCCCCUUAUUUGAGCUGUGCCCUUUCUGCUAUAGCAAAAAGCGAGCUGGCACAGUUGUAUUGUAGAAGGAACCUGCUUUUGUUUGUGUGUGGCCACUGUACUCUGAGAGUGUUUGCUGAAGUAAUGCCCUGCAGGGCCUGGCACAUAAGGAUAGGUGAAAGAUAAGUAAUGAGCUGGAUAUGGACCAUGACAAUUUUGGGCAGUUGUGGAGCAGGGCUUUAUUGUUAGAGUACUCUUGGGCCAAGUGAACAGUGCUUGAACUGUAGCAGCUCUUACUGAGCUGAGAUGAUGCCACAGCAAGCAUGCUUAAUCAUUGUGCUGAAAUUAGACAACUCACUAUUUUUCAGCACUUUUGUGUAACCAUGAACAUGUGGACUGUUCAUCUUUUCCACUGACAAAAGCUGAGGUUUUCUUUCUAGGAUGGAGAAGGAGUUGAGCUCAGAUAGAGUUAUACUUGAUAAUGGUGCAAUCGACUGAUGAUGCAGCUUUUAACUGAAACAUAACAUAGAGAUAAAGCACAACUGAAACUUCUCAUUAAGGGACUUUUAAUGGGAUUCAUGAGACUUUACAGCAUGCCAGAGAAAGAUGGGCUGUCUGCCCAAGUUCUGUGUAGUGAGAAACUGGAGGCACAUGCCAUUUGCCAGCUUAACUGCACCAGUUAAUGAAGGCAGUUCUGGUGACUUGCUUCUCUUCAUUUAGAGGACAGGUCUGCAAGGGUGAAUAUGUUACUGAUAGGAAGGUGAGUUUGACCUUUGGCCAAAUAACAGGAGUAGUUUGCUGUAUGCACAGUGAAGCCACAAAGGAAAGCAAAUUUCAUAACUGUAUGAUUAGGACUUAAAUGGCAUUCUGAAUCCACGGGAUGAACCUUAGUUUCUAUUAAAUCAAAGCAUAUCAACCUCUAUAAAUUCUGCAUUUGCCCUUAGAGUGACUGUGAAAUCAGUAUCAUUCUACCACUUGCAUUGCUGAUAAGAGACUCCAAGCAUGUAGACAGUGGUGUUAAAUAUUCCUUUUGCAGUAUUGAGAUUUCUCUUAUCUUUCUCACACCACAGCAGUGGGAUGAACCACAUUUCACUGUUUUGCCAAAGUGACUUAUAGAGUGAGGCAGUUACUGUGGUUAGAUGGGUGAAACAUUUCUGGAGUGUCACAUAGGUAUUGGUCUGCUAAGAGACUGCUUGUGAGAAAUGCAUAGCACUUUUUUCUUCAUUUAAAGAUAAAUAUUUUAAAUUAAACAGGCCUGGUGCAUGUGUUUAAAUAAAAAUACUUUUUUUAGAAAAACCAAACAACUUGAAUGUGACUCUUACUGUAAGAGUGCUUUCACAAUGCAAAAUAAAUGUGCUGGACUUUUCAAGCCUUGGUGAGUUUAAAAAUUAUUCUGUAAAAAUGGGAAUUUUGAAUCAAAUGCUAGUAUUACUAACAAUGUAAUUCUAGAUAUGCAAACAUGUCUUGUCACUUAAUCUUGGAAGCUACUAAACCAGCACAUUUUUAAAGCAUUGUUUUCUCGACCCUGUGACUAAAUAUCUGUUAAAAUUGCAUUUAAAUAUCUAUUCAGAAUGCCUGAUUGCACUGCAAUCAGUCUGAUUGUCUUUCUUAUACUGAUACUUGUAGAAAUAUUUAGACAUUUAGCUUCUUGGAGAAGUACCAAGAAAUAAUCUGUCUGAGCCUAACUAUGAGGUUAUAUGUUGAUGUUUCUACUUUUCCCACUUGGCCCCUGGAUUAUGAGCAGUAAAUAAUACCCAUCUGCAUGUGUGCUUUUCUAGGAGAGACAGCAAGGUAGACCAAGAUGGUUCAGCAGGCCUUUCAAAGCUCAGUUUUGUAUGAAGCAAUGCAUCAGAGCUCAAGUGUCAGCACAUGCCCUGAGGCUAUUGCAAGCUAUAGAUGAAGGGAGCUGUUGUGUCUCUGCCUUGUGAGAGCUCUUACAGCAGCAAUAUUGCACCAGCCUCUGCUCCUUUGCCUGUAGUUCUGUCAAAUACAGCUUCCAUUUGGCAAAACUUAAGGCAGCAACCUCAGAACUUUCAACCAAGCCUGGAGAGAGCAUAAAGCUUGGGGUCUGCCUCUGUCUUUUGUAUCAGACGUUCAGUUGCUGACAGCCUUUGCUAUUCCUCUAACACACCAAACCCCUAUACAUGUGUACUGUAAGUUUCAUGGCAGUUACAGCUCAUAGUUUGAGAAAAGUUAGCUGUAUCAAGCGGGGGGGAGAUACUGAGAAAGCAAGGUUUGCUGUUGUAAAUUGAGGUCAAGUUGUUUGGUUUUUAAAAAAUUUGGCUGUUGAGAUGAAACUGAGCAAGACAGACUCAGUGGGGCAAAGUACAGUAAUAACAGAACAUGAGUCAUUGCUUAGUAUUAAAAAAAAAACCUCCUGAAAUGAAUAACUAGUAUAGAGUAAUAUAGUAUACAACUCUUUGAUACUCUGUGGCUAAAAUAAAAUAAAUGUUACUUGGAGGAGAGUUGUAGAGGAACGAGUUAAACAAUGUUUUUCAAAGCUUCUUUCAGUAUUGUGAUCAAAUGAUGAGGUGGGAAUCUGUGUCACUGGAGAACAUGUGUAUACCUGAAAAACAGAUCUAGAGAAACAUUAUAGCCUGUUGUACCAGAGGCAGGGUGUUGGUUUGCAAGGAGAAGGAUAAAAUCAAAGGGAUUGGUUUUUCACAUUGAAAUAGGAGGAUAAUCUUUGCUGAAAUUGACUAAAGGUAAAUAUUAGCUUUACUGCCUUCUCAUUAAAACAAAUAGUCUUGGUUUCUGAGUAAAGCUAAAUAUUAGUAUUGCUGCCUGUUCAUUUAAACAAAUAUUGUCUUGGUUGAAGCCAAGUACUCUAUUUCAGUUUCUGUCUCUACGUAGCUAAGAGUUGUCUUGAGUGAGGAUUCCACAUCCGUGGAACAUCCUUGUGUGAGGAUGCAGAGAUGUAGGAACACUGAAUUUGGCCACAAACUUAAAUGUGAGAAACUUCUUUUAAACUUUGGAGGGUAUUUAUGUUGUUUUGGGGUGUUUUUUAUUGGAUUAUUUUGUUUUAAAUAAUGAGGGUGUCAAGCACUGGAAGAAACUGCCUGUAGAAGUUGAGUGUCUGUCCCUAGAGGUACCCAAACCAAACUGGACAUGGCUCUAAGCAACCUGCACUAGUCCACCCUGCCUUCAGCAGAGAUCUGGAACAGCACAGAAGUACCUUUCAAUGUAAGGUUAUAUGACAUUUUGACCACUCCACAGGAUUGGAAGUGGAACACCUGCAGUUUGUGACAAGAUGGCAUAAGGGGCUUGUUGAAAAUAAUUUGCAGCAAAUGAAUAGUGGCUCUGGAAUGAAACUUAAGCUUUCCUAAAAUAUAAUCCAGGUAUUUUCCCUUUACAGGCUAUAAAUGAGAAGUGCUGCUAUUGAUUGUCAUCCAAAACUCUUGAGAAAAAGCUUUGCUCAGUGUUUGUGACUGCCAGUGAAGUCUGUUCUUUAGUUGUGUACUGGAGAGGGAAGUUCUGGUAGCCUGGCUCAGCUAGCAGGCUUUCAAUUCGAGGACCAGUGCAGGCAGUCUGAUUCCUUGUGUUUGAACAUGAUCUAUGCAGGAUGUGGAUCGAAAAACAUUGAGAACAACAAGUGAAUCGUAAGGUACUGUAUCCUGUGAUGUGUACCUGCUGUGAACAUAGAUAAAAUACUGAAAGUAUUCCAGGAAAAGGAAAAUGCUGAAGUUUCAUGUUAAUGGUACUGAGAUAUGAAACAGUUCUGUACAUAAUAACCAAACAGGGUUUGGGAAGAUGACUUCCUCCAGGCAACAUUUCUCAUGACAUUUUCUGAUCCUGUGGUUAGGGGACUAUUUGCUACUACUGCCUGGACUGACAGUCCAGGAGAACAGAAUAUCCCAUUACUAGCAGCACGCAGAUUGUUUAAUCUUUUAAUUGUUUUGGGCUUUCUAAAUUAAGACUGGUGACUGCUGGUACAGGCAGAAACUGUAUUUCUUUAUUUCUUAACGUUUUAAAGAACUCAAGCCUCCUCUUUAAGUACCUACAGCUAAUCCAGUCUGAAUUGAGAACUCUUAUAAAAAUCUUUUCCCUGUGACUUCAUCUUCUACCACUAAAUUUUGGUCUUUUUUUUUUUCCCUCUGAUUAUCUCUUUCAGAUCCUUUUGUCUGUUGAGCUUUCUGCACAAGGGAGUCGGUUUCUUAGAAAAUAGAUAGCUAUGCAGAAGGGCAAUGAAAAAUGGAGUACUUGAACCUGCUGAUGGCCUAUGUGAGAAACACAUCAAAAGUUCCACUGUGAUCCCUAUGAAUAAAAGGUUGAAAAAAGGUUUUUCAGUGCAGUUGUGAUACUGGUGUUUAUCCUAGUGGUGCUUCCUGUUGCUCACACCUUGUCUUUGAGGAGUACCAAGGCUGGGUUUCUUUGCACCUACCUGUGCUUUCAUUCAGUCUGGGAGGCAGGAAGUACUUUUUCUCUUGGCAAUUCCUAGCAACCUUAUCCCAACUUCUCCAGACUUCUGGGUCUGCAGGAAAGUCCUGAUUAAGUGACUGUUCUUACAAGCUUGUCAACUCAGUUUCUCCUACACUGUCACUGCACAGUCAGGCUUAUUUUGGAGAGCAUGGCUUCCUUGGAGCACUGGGUGGAUGAUGGCACAAGAGCAAGGUGGCAAUGUGGUCCAUGUCCAGCUUCCUCUUUCACAGGUGUAUGCUCUCUUGCUCUAAAUCUCUUCUUGCUACUGCUCUGGUUGCAUUUUAGCCAAGUGAGGAAAAUAAAAAAGAUUUUCUUUCUCUUUUAAUGUUUUUGUCACCUCCUGCCUCUUUCGUAUGAGUCCACUGAUUGUUUUUUCAGAACCUCAGCUAAGGAAUUCCUUUGGGUCAUAUGCACGUGAUGCAGUUAAGUCCAAAUCUUUCAGUUAAGCAAAACUAUAGAAAGUGAGGUGAAAGAGUAGAAUUCUCUCCAGUUUCCUGUUCCUAUUACUGGAAAGUCCUUAUGGCUUGUUCCUUUUGAGGGUGUUCACAGGCUUUACAACCUAAAUCCACAAUGAAGCUUUUGUAAAGCCUGCCAAACAAAUUGAUCUGAACUGGCUUAUCUUAUGUCACCUGUGCUUUUCACUUGUGUUAAGAAACUGAACUUCCUCAUAUGCAACUUGAAUGUUGUAACAAUUUUAAUUUAGUCACAAAAACACACAAAUCAGUAUACCCAAGGCAGUUGUCCUCCGUCAGGAGUAUUUCUUGUUCAAGUCUCAUUUUUUUCUUUUUUCUACGGGAAACGUGAAUUUUUUGUUGUAACUCAGUGUCAUUUGACAGUAAGCAAAUUCAGUGUAAAAACACAUCCAUUGACUGAUAUGGUUGCAGUUAGUUCAGUGAUAAGUGCCAUUCAAGGGCAUUAGAUACUGUGUAUCCUGAGACAACUCCAUUUUGAUGAAUAAUGAUACAUUUGCAUUGUGCAUUCAAAGUUGUUUGUGAUAUUGUCAGCUACUUCAUUAAAAUGCUCAGCUAAGCACACGGGUGCAACAGGUAAGUCAGCUGCAAAGAUAUGCUUGCCUUGGAUGUGGAAUGCCAUAGAUCUUGGCCCUUUGCAAGGACUACUCAAGUAGAUAAACCAGCUUGUGCUGCAUUUGCCAGGUCUGAACACCUUUGAAAUAACAGGAAAAAAUAUGCUUGUUCUAGAAAAAUCUGGCUAACCACCAAAUGUAGCAAGACAUAGUCAAAUUUUAGGAAAUGUUUCUGCAGAGCUUUGCUUCAGCUGUCGUUUGACCAAUUUACUGCUGCUUGGAAAUUCUUUUCAAAGGAUAAUUCCUACAGCCUGUGUGGUGAAUUCUAAUGCAGAAGGAAAAAACUAUACCAUGUUGAGUGUCUAGUUGAGUACUUUUGCUGUAAUGAGAAGAUGCCUUGUUUCUGCUGCAUAUCUGAUACCUGCACAGCUAUUAAAGAGGUGCCUCUUGGCUCUUGAUUAUGCCUCAGGUAAAUGGUGACUGUGCCUGUGUAUUCAGAGACAGUCUGAGGUAGCAUGUCACUAUACUGCAAAGGAAGCCUUGAACCACCCAACUCCCAAUUUAAAAAACAGUAGAUAAUUAUUUUAUUUGUAUCCUAGGAUAUGUGAACCUGUGCCAGAAUUACCUUGAAGACAUUUACCACUUUAUGAGUUGAAAUAAGCGUUUCCCAAGGCAUAUAAAUUGGUAUAUAUGUCUUGCAGAAAAUAAAACCCAAAGUCAAGAAGGAAAUACUUCUGACUCCUCCUAUACAUACAUUUUUCCCCUCCUUUUUUUCCUGAACUUUGUUUCUAGUUUGAUAUGCUGCAGUCCCUUCUGACUGUUACUCUCAGUCUUACUGUAAACUUCUGCUGGUGCUAUUCUUGAACUGGGUAGCAAUAUCUGACUGUUUAGGUAACUAUCUGUCAAAUUAGAGGCAUGCUGUCAGGAGUGUGGUUAUUUUAUUUUUUUCCCCUAACAUUUGCUUGGUCCAUGAAGAAUCUCUUUAGAUGCAUUAGCAGUGGGUGGCUUCAUCAGUGAUACUGGUGAUGACCCAUAGCUUCCUCUUAAUUGAGAUUUCUCUGUUGAAAGGAUAAGAAACAGAUACUAUAUCUUUGGCUACUGGUUGUUGUCCUUUCGUUUUUUUAGCACUGAUAUCCUCUCUAAGGGCAUAAACAUUACUGUGGAGCAGGUUUGGUUUUGAAAGCUGAAAUUUCUGGCUAUACUGCCUGGAUUUCAUACAACUAAAUAAUUGUGGUUUUGAUGUCAGUGUAAUUCUUUCCAUGAUUACACAGUAUAGUCUGUCAAUGUAUUCCUGCCAAAAUUUGGUGUGCCAUUUGCCUCUGAAGUUAAAUACUAUUAAAAUACACAAGAUAAACAGCACAAAAGGGAUACAGAACUCUUCAAGCCUGCAUGCAAAAUACUGUACUCUUCUAUCUUUUAGGUGUCUCUUUGAGGUCUCUCUGCUCCAUGAGGAUGUUUAAAAUGAUACAGCUAAGAAGCUUUGUGGUGCUGAUUUGACUGUUGCUGGUCAAGCAUUAUUGUGCUGAAGCCCAAGCCUGGUCUGUGUGAGCAGACCUUUAAACCCUGUUUGCUAAAAAUUGGUUUUGUUCCCCUCAGUGUUUGCAAUGAUACUGGAAGCUGUUCCAGAAUCUCACUGGUCUUUGAAAUGCAGUGGGGAUUCUGAGGUUGUAGAUCUGCAGGCUCAGUAAAAUAUGUAAUUUUGUUUUUGAAGAAAAUCAAGUUGGAGAAUUCUUCUGAUAUGUGAAGGCAGGGAAGUUACAAAGACUAAGACUUAAACUUUGCUUUAUCCCCUUGCUAGUUCAUUUUAAGAAAACAGUCAUACUUGUAGCUGAUCAGAGACUGAAAAGUUCUAACUGUGUGAUUUUGCUUCGUGUGUUUAAUUUCUUGUGGUUACCUGAUAUACAUUUAAUGUUUCUAUGUUCCUAUUGCAGCACUUUAUAGUUGAAUAUAUAGUGUACCUGUUUAAGUCCUUUUUUUGCAUUUUAAAGGGAGAAGAUUUUUUACUCAUUUGAGAGAUUUUCAUUAUUCAAGAAUAAGAAUAUUAAGACUGACUGUGUCUCCAAAAUUACACUUGCUGUGUUUUCAUUGGUAUUAUCCUUGUGUUUUCACACUCUACUAGGUGUGCUGGAUCACUGUUUAGUCAUGUUAUAAAAGCCAUCUUAGUAGAAAUGCAUUAUUAUGCUGCAAUUUUUGAUUUGUGAAGUCUUGCUAGAAUUUCAAAUAAUUUCAUUGCCUGUAGCUUUACUUGUUUAAACAUUAGGAGAGAUCAGAUAUUUCUAGAUAUUG